UACGUAGGGUGCGAGCGUUAAUCGGAAUUACUGGGCGUAAAGCGUGCGCAGGCGGUUCGUUAUGUCCGUUGUGAAAGCCCCGGGCUCAACCUGGGAAUGGCAAUGGAAACUGGCGGGCUAGAGUGUGGCAGAGGGGGGUGGAAUUCCGCGUGUAGCAGUGAAAUGCGUAGAGAUGCGGAGGAACACCGAUGGCGAAGGCAGCCCCCCUGGGCUAGCACUGACGCUCAGGCACGAAAGCGUGGGGAGCAAACAGG
rnacentral:rRNA from 1 species